rnacentral:lncRNA from 1 species
CUGCCCGCCCGCCUCGCAUCUACCCUUCUCUUCUGACUCCGCCCCACAUCUGUCCGGAACCGCCUCCCGCUGAAGCUGACCCAGUGCGCGUCCGCCAGUCAGUCCCUCCGGACCUGCCGCGAGUCUCAGACUGCCGAAAUUACCGCGCGUCACUCGCCUUUUUCAGCUUUUCAAAACAGUCACUGUGCAAACUUCAAAUGUGCCCAGGAGAAGAAAAUUAAGAACAUUGCUUUGUGAUUGUAAACCAUCAUAUUAAAAGUUAUUCUGGUGAGACUAUUCUGUACAAAAAACUUCUUCAUAUACUGUUGCCUUUCUGGUUGUAUCUAUGAUUAAGGGGACAAACAAAAUGUUACAUGUUAAGUGAUAUUUUCAGUACAGGGGAAAAUGUAAGAAUACUAUGUGUUUAAGGGAAUAUUUAGGAAUGGUGUGAAUGCCAUCCUACCUAUAAAUAAAUGGCUUGAUUUAAGGAAAUAGUUUAAAAUGCAUCAGUAAAUUACUGAAUAUAGAUGAUAUAUGUGUUCCCAGCAUCUACGUUAAUACCUGGAAUAUAGUUAGCAUUCCAUGGUUGCUUGUUGAAUUAUCCCUCAAUUUGUUUGUUUUUCAAUUGUCUCCUCAGUAUUUCACAGGAGAAGUGAGUUAUUACAGAAUAAGCCAUUUUUUAUCAAAUUUCAUCCCAUAAAGAAAUAAUUGAGAGCUGAUUAGUUACAUAGAUUGGUGCUUCUAAUAUGGUGUUACUGGUGACAUAGACUAGUGCUUAUCCUGUUGAGGUGUUAUCAAUACUUUUACACUUCUCAUGAUUUCUUUUUUUAUUAUUGUUCAACAAUUUAUUGAUGAGUUUAUCUUAGACAAAGCUUCUAAUAAUUGACAUAAGUUAAAUGAAAAUAUAUUUGAAGAGAAACAUUUUUUAAAAUAAAUUAAUGGGAUGUUGCUUCAAGACUAAGACAAUUUCCACAAGGCCUUGUUCCUACAUUAAAUCAAGUGAUCACAAGAAUCCCUGAAAAACUAGUGCUUGUGCAUGUGAAAUUGUUUCUUACAUACUUCAUGGUGUUACUUCCCAAGAAAUAUAACCUAACAAAUGCUUUCUUUGAGAUUCAAGAGAGUUAAUAUAACCACUUGGCUUCAAGGGAUCAUGGUCAGUAGUUAGAAAUAAUCUAGCUACCAUUGGAAAUCUGAGAAAGGCCUAACUCAAUGUAUAAAUAUUGAGGAUAUAAUUUAUAUGAAACUUAAAAAAAAAAACUCCAAGUACUUUCACCGUCAAAAGUCAAAUUCAGUUUUAAAACAUCUCCCAUUUGGCACACAAAAAUGACCAGUGUUCUCAUUAAAUCUCUCAACAGAAGUUUGGAGCCUUUGCAUUUUAUUUAAUUAAGAAAAUAUUUAGUUCUUUGGAGAGACUUGCAAGAAAAGAGAUGAGUGAUGAUAUUAUAUGUCAUGACUGUCUCAGUUAUCAGAGUAAAUUAGUUUCUUUGUUUUAAAACUAGUAAGUGAAACACCAGGUGUUGGCAUCUUUUCUAUAAAAAAAUAAGCCUUCUAUAAUGUAGAAUAAAUAAUUUUACGAAUUUUUGAGAUUGAUUUAAAAUUUCUAAAAAGGUAAAUUAUACUUUUGGAAAAUCAAAGACUUUUUAAAACAAUAUUUAGGAGCAUUUGAAAAGUAAUUUUAAGCAAAUUUACACAGGAUUGCAAAUGACUCCUUUUUUUAUUAAAUUAAAAU